GCCAGGCGUGGUGGCCUGUGCCUGUAGUCUCAGCUAUUUGGGAGGCUGAGGCUGGAGGAUCACUUGAUCAGGUGUCUGCACUAAGUUCAGCAUCAAUAUGGUGACCUCCUGGGAGCGGGGGACCACCAGGUUGCCUAAGGAGGGGUGAACUGGCCCAGGUCAGAAACAGAGCACGUCAAAACUCCCAUGCUGAUCAGUAGUGGGAUCACGACUGUGAAUAGCCACUGCACUCCAGCCUGGGCAACAUAGCGAGACUCGGUCUCUU
ensembl:misc_RNA Metazoa_SRP Metazoan signal recognition particle RNA